rnacentral:lncRNA from 1 species
AUUUCUCCGGAUGAUCGGGUGUCAGAUCGGAAAAUUGAAAGUGGGGAUCGUCAUCAGCGCGUCGUUGUGAGUUCGAUGGUGUGUUCGGAUCGUCGAUCGGACUCCGGCGGCUGGAGGCGAGUCGACCGAGCAUCCGAGCGUCUCGGUAAUUAUCUUUGGCCCGUUAAUUUUGGAAUUCUUGGUUUAAUUUGUGUUUAUAGGAUUAUAUUGAGUAUUUGAUAUUUUUGUGAGUCAAAAAUAUUUGUUUGUCAGUUUGCCUGCCAUAGUCGUGUUUUUGUGCUGUGUGGCGGAGUCGGGAAAUAGUGAAGUUUUGGGACCCGACUCCCGUUGUUUAAAUUGUUGGAUAUUUGGAGUGUUUUUCUGGCAGGUCCUGGACCCGUUUUUACGGGGGGUAAUGUUGGUGUUGUAGGGGAGGUUCUGCCGGAUUUUCGGCAGAAUUCUCCCGAGUCGAGAUUCUUAGACAGUCAGUCCUAGGAAUCUAGACCUAGGAUCUAUUGUAAUUGUUUCAUCGUUUUGAUAAAUUGUUUUCCGUGACUAGAUUGUCAGUUCGUUCGGCUCGCUCCAACUGAGGCACCGGAGCAGAGCUAGGAGGUCGCCAAUCCUGUGAGUUAAAGUCAUUUAAUCAUUGCACUAUUGCUAAGUCUGAUUUAAUAUGCUAUUUUGAAAGUUUAUGCAUAAUAUGGUUAUUAGUAUCGCAACGUAAAUAAUUUCACUGGACUAUUAAUUAUUGAAAAUAAUAUAAAUAUUAUUAUUAGUAACGUUAUAAUAAUACAUAUAUUAUUAUUUUAUCGACACGAAUUGCACGUUGCCUUAUCCUAAAUUUUUAAUCUUUAUUUCGAUAUGUGUUGAAUGAUUUCAUUAAACAAUGAUAUUUAUUAAAUGUGAUGAUUGCGUUUUGGGAAAUGUGGCUUUCGUAGAACAUGCCACCUGGUGGGUUGCAUCAGGACCGCGUGCGCACCGGUAAUGAUCAUGGACAUAAGGUUAUUAUGGAUUUGUUUACCCUGAUCGAGCAUUGCUCUCUGGGCUGAGUUCAGUUGAUUGCCGGAGUUAAGGUCCCUGAUCGAGCGAUGCUCUCUGGGCGCCGGCUUAUUUGGAAUUCAAGUGUUCAGGCUGGAGGUAAGGACCCUGAUCGAGCUUGCUCUCUGGGCGCCAGUCUUAUUGGAUUAAGAGAGCCAAAAUGGCUGUUAGAAUUUGGGGUUAGGGUUCUACUGAGCCACUCGUCCCGUAAAAGUAAAAAUAUAUUUUUAUUUAUUCAUUUAUUAAUUUAUUGUGGUAUGAUUAUAAUAUGGAUUGUAUUUACGUGCAUGGUUGAUAUUUUGAUUCGAAUGAUUAAUAUUUUAUGUGAAGGAAAUAGUAGGGUAUGAUUAUAGUAUGGUUUGAUAUACUGAUUUGAAUAAUCUAUGUUUUCUGAGAAGAAGCAAUAGUCCCUAGAUUAUUUGAUUUUAACUCACUCUCGAGACUGACAGUCUCCAUUUAUGUUUUUUUUUUCAGAUUCGUGACUGCUAGUCCUCUCGCGACUCUUAUUCAGUAACCCGACUCCUUCAUCAUCGGGUGAUGUAUUUGAUUUGGUAUGUAAAUUGGUAAAUCUUAGAUUCUCCGCAGUAGUAAUAGUAAAUGUAUCGGUUGUAAAUUUUCUGAGCUUCGGGUCUCGCCUAGUUUUUCUGGUAGACCGAAGUAAUUUUGUAAAGUGUAACUAUUAAGAUAAAUUGUGGCUUUAAUAAUAUUAAUUUGAGAUGAG